rnacentral:rRNA from 1 species
AACGAACGCUGGCGGCAUGCCUAACACAUGCAAGUCGAACGGAAAGGCCCUUUCGGGGGUACUCGAGUGGCGAACGGGUGAGUAACACGUGGGUGAUCUGCCCUGCACUUUGGGAUAAGCCUGGGAAACUGGGUCUAAUACCGAAUACACCUUGCUGGUUGCAUGAUUGGUGGGGGAAAGCUUUUGCGGUGUGGGAUGGGCCCGCGGCCUAUCAGCUUGUUGGUGGGGUGAUGGCCUACCAAGGCGACGACGGGUAGCCGGCCUGAGAGGGUGUCCGGCCACACUGGGACUGAGAUACGGCCCAGACUCCUACGGGAGGCAGCAGUGGGGAAUAUUGCACAAUGGGCGCAAGCCUGAUGCAGCGACGCCGCGUGAGGGAUGACGGCCUUCGGGUUGUAAACCUCUUUCAGUAUCGACGAAGCGCAAGUGACGGUAGGUACAGAAGAAGCACCGGCCAACUACGUGCCAGCAGCCGCGGUAAUACGUAGGGUGCGAGCGUUGUCCGGAAUUACUGGGCGUAAAGAGCUCGUAGGUGGUUUGUCGCGUUGUUCGUGAAAACUCACAGCUUAACUGUGGGCGUGCGGGCGAUACGGGCAGACUGGAGUACUGCAGGGGAGACUGGAAUUCCUGGUGUAGCGGUGAAAUGCGCAGAUAUCAGGAGGAACACCGGUGGCGAAGGCGGGUCUCUGGGUAGUAACUGACGCUGAGGAACGAAAGCGUGGGUAGCGAACAGGAUUAGAUACCCUGGUAGUCCACGCUGUAAACGGUGGGUACUAGGUGUGGGUUCCUUUUCACGGGAUCCGCGCCGUAGCUAACGCAUUAAGUACCC